UAACCAUGGUGAGGGCAGUCCUGUGUGUACUCCUUGAAACGCUCCCAAGCCUCAUGAAAGCUUUCUGAAUCAAGCUGCUGAAAGCUUCCAAUUCUGCUCUUCUCAGAUA